CUUUAAUAAAGAACAAGUAUGAUAAUUAGGGUUGUGGAGUUCUAUGGUUUACUAUGGUUCUAAUUGGUUCUAAAGUAAGGAUUAGAUGGAUCACAACAAGGUUGGAUUCAUCGACACCUAGGCUUGUAAGGUUGAGUUAAGCUUAGGCAUUCUAAGCAAUUAUUUAUACAUGGUUGCUUUUAAGCCUGAUUCAUCUUGCUGGUGAUAGCUAGUUAGGGUUUAUAGAUCCUUAUAAGCAGGGUUUAUGAUGAUUCUUUAUUUACUUCAAAAGAAUAACUUUUGAAGAACAUAUUGCUUAAGUAAGAAGAAGUAUCUCAAUUAAGGUUGAGAUUAUCUAGGGUUUGCUAUUGGAUCCACUAAGUAUGGAAUAGUUAGUUCCUAAAUAGUAUGGUUCAUAACUAUCUAACAUUAGUAGGUUUAGUGGAGUAUAGUAUGUAAGUUUAAACAUUGGGCAUAGUUGCUAUUGGAGUUCAUCACAAUGGUGUGGUGCUAAUUAAGGUUAAUUAAGGAUUAUAUCUCUAAGGAUAGGAACUAGGGUUGGUUUUAUUUUAUCUCAUUUAAUAUUGAAGGAACAAUUUUUUGAAUAAGGGUUUGAUUUAAGAAACAACUUUUAAAUACAAUUUAACAAUGAUAUUACAACUAUAAGGCCUAACGAGGAAUAUACAUGACCUCCUAAUGUGACUCAAUACUUAGUUAUGAUUUUUCCUUAUUCUUAUGAGUUUAAAAUAAUUGAGGAAAUAAUCUUUUAGAACUAAGAUAAAAGUUAGAUUAUUGUUGUUUGGAUUAUUAGGUGCUUGUUGCUAUUUUACUUGAUUUUAGGAAUUUUAUAGUAACUAAAAUUUAUGUUAGAAAUCCUCAUGCUUUUAAUUAAGCUAAUUUGAUUUCUUAAAUAUUUAACAUCAAAUUGAGAGUUGAUUAAGAUUUAUAAUUUUUAUUUUUAUUUUUAUUUUUAGAAAAUAAACUAGACACACAAGUACUUAAGUAGAUUAGUUCUUUGGGCUGGUCUAAUUAGCUUAGUAGCUCAAAUGUACACACUAAUAAACUAGUUAAAUUGAUUGGGCUUAGCACACACGUACGUACACAGUACGUUCGUAUACGCACAUGUAUCAGGCCAACUCUCACGCCAGGACGCCCAUGUACGAGGUGAAAUCUCACGCAAGGAAAGCCCAACCUUACGUCUCUCUUUCUCCUCUCACGCGAGGAUGCACACACCCGAGCUUUCCAUGGCGACGCCGUGCUCUCGCCUUCCCCCGGCCGCGCCCGGCCGUCUCCGACACCGCUAAGGCGCGGUUCUGUUCGCCUCGAGGUGCUCCACCACUUCCCCCUCCUCGUUUUGAUCAUCUCGGUCUCAAUCACUCGUCCACGACCCCGAUUGAGUCGCCGUCUCUGCCACUACACUGGCCGCUCCUGGUCAACUCCGGCGCCGGCGAUAUGGUUUUCUGGCUCCCCUAGGUGUUCCCUACCUCUCGGCUCCGCUCGAUUCGAUUCUCGAGCCGUAUCUGGUCCGCCCCCAAAUCGAGAACCCUAGCUCGAUGUUGGCUCAAUUCGGCCGUCGCCGGCCGAUUCCGGCGGCGCCUCACCCCGGCGUGUCGCCUCCACGAACUCCACCUCCAAAAACUUCUGCCUCAACAUCGCCCUGCGCCGCCCUCGCGUGGCCCUGCCCUCGGCUAACCCUAGCCGUGGCUAGGUGGUUGACCGGCUCCCGCAUUUGUCCCUCUGGCUUUGCCUCUCGACGACGAGCUUGGCUUCCUCAUCAUCCUCCAUGAUUUCUACGUGACGCUAGCAGGACGGUGCCACGGACGCAACCCUGGCGCCUCGGUCCGCUGCCCUGUGGCCUUUGCCAUUGCGGAUGCUGCUGUUGCUCGUGAUGGAGCUGCUGCUGUGAGCUGUGGUGCUCGACAUCGAUGGACGGCGCUGCAAGCGCAACCUCGGUGUCAAAUAGCUCGCCUACGCCAUGUAUUCACUAUUGAUGCUUUGCUUGGUGGCUUGCUUAUGAGCUUAGAUAUAUACUUUAUUACUGUGCUGCAACUAUGGUACUACUUGGUUGGCCUGGGAUGAUUUCCUGGACCCUAAGUAGAUUCAUGUAUUAUGUUGGUUAUUAACUGUCGGCUUGUGGUGAUGACUAAAGCAUGUGCAUAUAUGAUAUUGGACAGUAGCUGUGUUGGAAUGCACAAACUGAUGCCUUUCCCGAGUUCUUGAAUAUGAUCUAGUUGCUGAUUAUCAACUAGAGAUGAUGUUUGCAUGGUUGGAUUUUAUUGGUGGAUCAUGAUGUUCCCCUUUUUGAAUAGCUAUAACUGAUAAGAACAGAUUUGGCUUGAUCUUGUAGCCUUGCCAGUGAUGCAAAGGCUGAGGCACUAUUUGUAAUAAGAACAGAUAUAUGUUGCUUAUUUUAUCCUCUAUGAUGAUUCAGCAUAGCACCACUAUGCAGAUCUGAGAGGAAUAUAUCUUUCUAUCUUCCUAGGUGAAAACCUAGUUGAAGGGUAGCUAAAUGAUUUUACUGUGUAUAAGGUUCCAUUUCCCCGAAAAUGUCUAUGGAAGAACAGAUAUUAUGUGAUAUAUAUUUAAGCUAGUGGUUGGUCUCUACCUGUUGCUCUAUAGCUUGAUAGCCUGUUGGUUCUUCUAGCUUUUGUGAUACUUUGCUUCUGGUAGCAUGCCUGCUCCUCCAUACUUCCUGAUCUGCUUCUUUAUGAUCUAGCUGAUGAAUGGUUUACUGCUAUCAACUGAACUAUUGAUAUGAUUUGGUUGGUUUGGUUAGUGGAGAUAUUGUGAAGGAGCUGCAGAUGAUUCUGCUGGUGUGCUCAAGAUGUGGUGCGGCUGGGAUAAGUUGGGAUGUGCUAGAAGAGCUGGUAGGACAGCUGCUGGGCUGUUUAUAUACAGCUGAACUAUUCAUGUGCUCGUGACAACACAGAGAUUGCAUGUGUGUGUGUGAGCUGCUAGGUAGGUUGCUCCCUCUCCAUGUGCAGGUUGCAAACUUGACUUUGUUUGCCUCAUUUGCAAGGCACGGUUCAACCUUGUACUUAUCCCUUGUUGGACAUUAUUUGAGAUACAACCAAGUGUAUAUCUCCUAUUGGUCCUCUGUGACUAAAUGGAUUCAAUUGAUGAGCUUAAAUAUUGAUAGCUCAAGUAUUAAUUAGACUUUGCUUAAUUAGCAAUAGACUUCGCAUUAAGUGCUUAGGAUCAUUUUGACCCUUCCAUGUCAAACAUGAUCCAAUUACAUAAGAUGGUGAGCUUUAUGGUUUCUAGCUAGAUUAGAGGGAAUUUAAGAUAAUAUAGCAUGGUUGCCUAGAAUUGAAUGGAAUCAAUCAAUUGUUGUCUGCUUGUCCCUUGUUGCCUGAGAAAUGAUUAGUGAUUGUCAAUGAAAAUGCCUCUUUGUUGCCUUUGA